rnacentral:rRNA from 1 species
UACGUAGGGGGCGAGCGUUGUCCGGAAUCACUGGGCGUAAAGGGCGCGUAGGCGGCUCUCUAAGUCCGCGGUGAAAGACCGAGGCUCAACCUCGGGAGGUCCGCGGAGACUGGGGGGCUUUGGAGUCUCGGAGGGGAGCGGGGAAUCCCUGGUGUAGCGGUGGAAUGCGUAGAGAUCAGGGGGAACACCGGCGGCGAAGGCGCCGCUCUGGCCGAGGACUGACGCUGAGUGCACGAAAGCGUGGGGAGCAAACAGG